rnacentral:rRNA from 1 species
GACAGAGGGUGCAAACGUUGUUCGGAAUUACUGGGCGUAAAGCGUGUGUAGGCGGUCCACUAAGUCGGGUGUGAAAGCCCUGGGCUCAACCCAGGAAGUGCACUCGAAACUGGCGGGCUAGAGUAUUGGAGAGGUUGGUGGAAUUCUCGGUGUAGAGGUGAAAUUCGUAGAUAUCGAGAGGAACACCGGUGGCGAAGGCGGCCAACUGGACGAAUACUGACGCUGAGACACGAAAGCGUGGGGAGCAAACAGG